rnacentral:rRNA from 1 species
UACGUAGGGGGCAAGCGUUAUCCGGAUUUACUGGGUGUAAAGGGAGCGCAGGCGGCGUGGCAAGUCAGAUGUGAAAACCCGGGGCCCAACCCCGGUACUGCAUUUGAAACUGUCCGGCUGGAGUGCAGGAGAGGUAAGCGGAAUUCCUAGUGUAGCGGUGAAAUGCGUAGAUAUUAGGAGGAACACCAGUGGCGAAGGCGGCUUACUGGACUGUAACUGACACUGAGGCACGAAAGCGUGGGGAGCAAACAGG